rnacentral:rRNA from 1 species
UACGAGGGGGGCUAGCGUUGUUCGGAAUUAUUGGGCGUAAAGGGCGCGUAGGCGGAUGGCACAGUCAGAUGUGAAAUUCCCGGGCUUAACCUGGGGGCUGCAUUUGAUACGUGUGAUCUAGAGUGAGGAAGAGGGUCGUGGAAUUCCCAGUGUAGAGGUGAAAUUCGUAGAUAUUGGGAAGAACACCGGUGGCGAAGGCGGCGACCUGGUCCUUGACUGACGCUGAGGCGCGAAAGCGUGGGGAGCAAACAGG